GACGAACGCUGGCGGCGUGCUUAACACAUGCAAGUCGAACGGAAAGGCCCUGCUUUUGUGGGGUGCUCGAGUGGCGAACGGGUGAGUAACAAGUGAGUAACCUGCCCUUGACUUUGGGAUAACUUCAGGAAACUUGGGCUAAUACCGGAUAGGAGCCCCUGCUGCAUGGUGGGGGUUGGAAAGUUUCGGCGGUUGGGGAUGGACUCGCGGCUUAUCAGCUUGUUGGUGGGGUAGUGGCUUACCAAGGCUUUGACGGGUAGCCGGCCUGAGAGGGUGACCGGCCACAUUGGGACUGAGAUACGGCCCAGACUCCUACGGGAGGCAGCAGUGGGGAAUAUUGCACAAUGGGCGGAAGCCUGAUGCAGCAACGCCGCGUGCGGGAUGACGGCCUUCGGGUUGUAAACCGCUUUCGCCUGUGACGAAGCGUGAGUGACGGUAAUGGGUAAAGAAGCACCGGCUAACUACGUG
rnacentral:rRNA from 1 species